CUCCUAAGAACCAGUCACUCCCAGGGCAAGAGGAGGAAGGGUACUCUGGCCUAAUGCAUGGUAGUGGAGAGGCUAGGCGGAGGUAUGACACAAACAUGCACACAGAACUGCACUCCAGGGCGGAAUGCUGAGUGCCUCACAGGAAUGUGGAUGCAUAUUAUUCAGGCCAGGGAGAGGCAGUGGGGCUAGGGGACAGGGGACCAUGAGCAAAAGUGUUGCUGAAGAGAAGCAACUGGACAAAGCCUCAAAGGACAGGCCAUCUGGACUUGUGUGACGUCAGGGAGGGACAGGCUGUCCAAUGCGAGGUUGACUGUGAGAAGAGGUGCCAUACAGAAACCCACACAAGAGUGACUACCCCACCAGGAACCUAUCAAGCACUUAGGAAUGAGAAAAAUGGCAAGCCCUUGAGGUUUUUGUUCUCUUCCCUGUCCAGGGUCCACUGUCUUAGCAUGCAAGCCUUCAAGCCUGAACAAGGAAACUAUUCAUCCAUGGAGCCAACCAGGAGGAAGCCACUUCCUGUUCUCUCCCUGUCCUGGCCUGGCCAGGCCAGGACAUGGCUUUCCAUCCCAGGCUGGGAGGAUGGAAUUGAUAAAGGCCCAUUGUGACAGUCUCACAAACCCAGAGGCCAUCAAGGGGCUAAGAAGCCACUUAACAGCUUUUGAACAUUUGUAAAAAGAAUUAUCCUGCAGAAGAGAAUGCAGAGAGGGGCCCAAGGUCGCCACCGGGAUGCACCUCUGCCACCCAUGAUAGGGAGGCUGACAGUAAAGCCAGCAGGGGCCCAGCCUGCUUGCAACACCAUGGGCUGACCUGAGGCAGGAGGGACUCAGACACCACCAACAGGCAGCUUUACAAUUCAGGACUCCUGGACACCUGGAGUUGAAACCCAAUCUCCUGCCAAAUGCAGGAAACACAAG
rnacentral:lncRNA from 1 species